rnacentral:tRNA from 1 species
GCACCCGUAGCUCAGUGGAUAGAGCGUUGGUCUCCGGAACCAAGCGCGGGGGUUCGAUUCCCUCCGGGUGCA